rnacentral:lncRNA from 1 species
GAGCAUAUAAAAUCUUCAAUUUAUCACAAGUAUAACUGAUUUACAAUAUUAAUGCCAAUAUUAGAAGUAGUUAGUGUAGAAAUUUAUACUCAGUAGAUGCCUUCACGCUGCCUCCUUUCUGUAGCCAGACUACUUCCUUAGAUGCAUUUGGUCCUACGGUCAAUCAAUGCCUGCAACACCUGCCAACAACACGGCAGGCAGUUUACUCCCAAAUGCACUCUGAUAAUGCAGCUUAACAGUAAUGCUGUUCAAUGAUUAGCAUUUGAGGAAAAAUUGGUAAUGUACUAAAAACCAAGAAUUAUCUGCUGAUAGUUCGAACCAUCCUCUAUCAUAAUUGCACGACAGAUAACAAAUGAAGUUCAAUAUAUAAGUACAUUCAUUUAAGUGAAAUAAGAAUUACUGUUCAAAUAUGAAGGGGUUAGAUUCAACUCCUUUGAUAACAGUAAAUAAAUCCUUUCUCAAAAUUUAACUCUCUAGACGAUGUCUUACACUCCUUGUCAGCUGCCUACUGCCUACUGGAAGCUGCCUACUUUUUCAGGAUAGGGCCUGCUGCCUAUGAAUGGAUAAAUAUACAAAGUGAAAAAAAAAUGGUUUUCUUUUUUAUUUUACACAGACAUUGAGUUUAUUUCUCAUGGCCUCUUCCGUUACUCCCACCACUCGGGGAUUCAAAAAUGGAUCUCUUGAUUUUUAGAUAAAAUUUUCCCUUUUUUAUAUAUUUUUAUUAGAUAGAUAAGCAAAGAAGCUCAUGGAGUAUCUCUUGGUGAGACAGAUGGAACUAGAGGCACACUUGUACUUUUUGGGGCCAUUGCCAUUCUUCAUAAAUUGUAGAUAAGAAUAGAGACCACAGUUUGUCACAUCCCAACAUUUGAAAUUCAUGGCUUUCAAUGCUCAAUCAUGGAAAUACUUUGUACAAAUAUUUUACUCCAAAUAUACACAUAAGAACAAACAAACUAACACUUGCAUUGAUUUCCACAUAUUUUUUAUUCUUUUAAACCACUUCAAAAAUCAAAACUUCCCUAGUUAGAGUAAUUAACCACAUUCUAAUAAAGAUUCAAUUAACCAGUUUUGGAUGAGCAAGGAGAUAAUACCUUUAUUCUGUAGUAACAUACUUAGGAUUAUGUUGCGUCAUCACAUUCAAACAAGCACUGGCCUAAAGUGAAAAAAGCAAAUUUGAUUAGAAUACAAAAGGAGCAAAAAGUUAACAGCCGACUUGAGUUAUUCCUAGUUGCAAUGACUUUGCACAAAAAAGUUAAUCAUCUAACCAUUAAACAAGUAGUGUAGCCAAGAUUUUGAAUAAAACACAUCAAAAGCAAAAUUAUGCCUAGCUUAACAAAGAUAUUAUGACAGUAGUAUUUUUGGAUGAUUUAUUUUCAAUUUAAACUUAAGACUAAAAUUUAUCAUUAGAACAGUUUCUAACUUAUGCUAACCAACAGAUAUGAAAAGUUAGUUUACUAGUUAAGACUAUGAAAUCCAAAUAAAAUUUGAAGAUGCCAUAAAAGGUAAAUUGUCAAAAGAAAAUUAAAAAAUCCCUAACAUAUUUGUACACUUACUUGGUUAAUUCAUGGAAUUUGUGUCCCAAGAUUAAACCAACUGUUGAAGCAGCCCACUGCCACAAAAUAUCAUGAAAUUAAAUUGAAGAGAAAUAUAGUAAGCAGUACAGGUGAUCAAAAAGUGAAAGAAUAUUCUCAUACAUGUUAGGUUAGAAAGAAAUUUUGACUAGAAAAGCUAAAAAUAUCCAAUGUUAAUCUGUGUUGUAGUUACAAUUAACAACCUUGGAGAAUCUAAGGGUGCUACUCACCUUAGUUAGAAGAUGAGAGAGUUUCUCUAGAAAAAACAGUAGUGUGAGUUCUUUUCAGAAGUUACUUCGAGCUAAGAGCAAACUCCAUAGCAGAUUUCAUAGGAGACUCCAAGCAAGUUCUUCAUGGUAAAUGCCAAAAGAAGACAAGAUCCGAGGAACAGUCAAAAUAUCCCAACAGCAUCAAAUAGUUCAGCAACUAUCAAUUCUCCAUCUGAGAGACUGCAUGAAGAUUCUUGUCUGCAGAUAUCUGAUACCUCUAGACCAUUAGAGAAUGAGGCUCUCACUCUGCUUCAAAUCUCUGACACUAUAUCAGCAAUAGGACAAACAAGCAUUUAGCAGUCUCAAG